CGGUUGAUCCUGCCAGAGGUUACUGCUAUCGAGGUUCGACUAAGCCAUGCGAGUCGAAUGUAGCAAUACAUGGCGUACUGCUCAGUAACACGUGGAUAACCUACCCUUAGGACGGGGAUAAACCCGGGAAACUGGGUAUAAUACCCGAUAGAUCUCGAUUGCUGGAAUGCAUCGAGAUCUAAAGCUCCGGCGCCUAAGGAUGGAUCUGCGGCCUAUCAGGUAGUAGUGGGUGUAGCGUACCUACUAGCCUACGACGGGUACGGGUUGUGAGAGCAAGAGCCCGGAGAUGGAUUCUGAGACACGAAUCCAGGCCCUACGGGGUGCAGCAGGCGCGAAAACUUUACAAUGCUGGAAACAGCGAUAAGGGGACCUCGAGUGCCAGGUUACAAAUCUGGCUGUCGUAAUGCCUAAAAAGCAUUGCAUAGCAAGGGCCGGGCAAGACCGGUGCCAGCCGCCGCGGUAACACCGGCGGCUCGAGUGGUAACCGUUAUUAUUGGGUCUAAAGGGUCUGUAGCCGGCCGGAUAAGUCUCUUGGGAAAUCUGGCAGCUUAACUGUCAGGCUUUCAGGAGAUACUGUCUGGCUCGAGGCCGGGAGAGGUGAGAGGUACUUCAGGGGUAGGGGUGAAAUCUUGUAAUCCUUGAAGGACCACCAGUGGCGAAGGCGUCUCACCAGAACGGACCUGACGGCAAGGGACGAAAGCUAGGGGCACGAACCGGAUUAGAUACCCGGGUAGUCCUAGCCGUAAACGAUACUCGCUAGGUGUCGGCCACGGUGCGACCGUUGUCGGUGCCGUAGGGAAGCCGUGAAGCGAGCCACCUGGGAAGUACGGCCGCAAGGCUGAAACUUAAAGGAAUUGGCGGGG
rnacentral:rRNA from 1 species